GGUUAUCUUCUACAAGGAGGGAAGGCAGAGGGCAGUGUUAUAUAUUCCCGUGAAAAGGCGAAGUUUAAAGUACCGACAGUGAACCUUAUUCAUUUAUCUGCAA